UACGUAGGGUGCGAGCGUUAAUCGGAAUUACUGGGCGUAGAGUGUGCGCAGGCGGCCGCGCAAGUCGAGUGUGAAAGCCCCGGGCUUAACUUGGGAAUUGCGCUCGAAACUACGUGGCUGGAGUGUGGCAGAGGAAGGUGGAAUUCCAGGUGUAGCGGUGAAAUGCGUAGAGAUCUGGAGGAACACCGAUGGCGAAGGCAGCCUUCUGGGCCAACACUGACGCUCAUGCACGAAAGCGUGGGGAGCAAACAGG
rnacentral:rRNA from 1 species